AGCGAACGCUGGCGGCAGGCCUAACACAUGCAAGUCGAGCGGCCGUAGCAAUACGGCAGCGGCAGACGGGAGAGUAACACGUGGGAACGUACCCUUCGGUUCGGAAUAACUCAGGGAAACUUGAGCUAAUACCGGAUACGUCCGUAAGGAGAAAGAUUUAUCGCCGAGGGAUCGGCCCGCGUCCGAUUAGCUAGUUGGUGGGGUAAUGGCCCACCAAGGCGACGAUCGGUAGCUGGUCUGAGAGGAUGAUCAGCCUCAUUGGGACUGAGACACGGCCCAGACUCCUACGGGAGGCAGCAGUGGGGAAUAUUGGACAAUGGGCGCAAGUCUGAUCCAGCCAUGCCGCGUGGGUGAUGAAGGCCCUAGGGUUGUAAAGCCCUUUCGGCGGGGAAGAUAAUGACGGUACCCGCAGAAGAAGCCCCGGCUAACUUCGUGCCAGCCGCCGCGGUAAGAC
rnacentral:rRNA from 1 species